GAAACAUAUUGACACUGAAGCGCAUGGCUGCAGUGGACAGUUGUUCCAGAUGUGAUGUCCAGAAAUUGAAGAAAAAUCGAGAUGUCAUUUCCACCACUCCUCGUCAUUUCCAUCACAACCCAUAUUUUUGAGGCACGGACUCUGAAAGUGGCCCCACAACAGCCUGCCACGACUGGCCCUGUGCCACCUCUACCCAAACCCAACACCUCCUCAGCCGAUGCCAACAAAGAGCAAACCGAGAUCCUCAAUGCCAUCCUACCACCCCGCUCUACCAGUGUUACAGGGAAUGGAUGGAGACCAACCAGCUGUGGGUGUAGCAGGUGUCUAGCACGCCGUGUACCCGCAUGGACGUGGUGCACCUAUAGGAGCAGCUGGAUCUGAAGCUGCAGCAGAGACAGACCAGGGAGACUGGCAUCUGCCCAGUCCUCAGGGAGCUCUACUCCCAGUGCUUCGAUCUCCGAUUUGGAGAACAAGAAGCGGGACCUGGCGAGACAGGUUAACGAGCAGAAGGCCAAGUGUGAGGCCAUCGAGAAGAGAGAGACAGAGACGGCAGGUGGAGAAGAAACACACAGAGGAGAUUCAGUUCCUGAAGAGAACCAACCAGCAGCUUAAGGCACAGCUGGAGGGGUUCAUUGCCCCCAAAAAGGUGACCCCUUCAUUCCACAAGUGAUCUAUAACCGGCAGAUUUCAGAUGGUCCAACACAGCAUUAUGUAAUAA